AAUCAUCUUUCAUAUUUUGAAAGUGUUUAUUUGUAAAGUGUCAUUAACAAUGGGCAUUAUCUAAAUGUGCUUAACUGAAAGCGAUGCCUAAACCACUGGUGACAGCAGGGAGAAGCUCCCUUUUAAAGGUACAGUCUGUAAUUCUAAUCCAAUACACUUUUAAUUUAAUUUAGCGAAUUCCUCCUCACGGUCCUCAAGCUGUCUGUUCUGUUUGUAUGCUCAUACUAAAAAACUCUGUACAUGGGAAACAAACGAAGUGGCUCGGACUGAGCAAUCCACCAUUCCAGCCUUAACGGUUGCUUCAAGGGCAUGGAGGAGAGAGGUGUAAUGUGAUUGAGCUCAAAUAUCAACAACCUUUUGCCUGAAUAGCGGGCUGUACGUUUCACAGGAUAAGCAGAGCCUGGCUCCGAGAGGUGUGUCCCAUCUGCUAAGGCUGGCAAAGGAGCGAGGUAGAGCGAGCAGAAACAAGUGAGAGAACAGGAAGAAGGAAGUAGAGAGAGGAGAACGGGGGGAAACCAGGUAUAAAGAUGUGGCGGAAAUAAAGCAUGAAGAUUUGAGAGUACAUCAAAUGACCUUCAUCUGCAACACAGGACUAUGAAUAGACUGUAUGUAUGAUGUCACUUAUAACUGCGGUGGUGCUAUAUUUUUUAUGUAAUUUCUGCAUACUCAUGACAAAUACACUUACCAUUGGCACAAAAUAAAUCAAUGUGGGACAAUUUAAGUGGGGGUAAUUUAAAAAAAAAAACAUCAUUUACUGUGUGGAAUUGUCUUGAAACUGCUGGAUACGAGAGUGAACUGGGGGAUUACGGUGAGAUCUUUCUGGUUAAAAUAACUGAAGUCAACUGCGCACAGUUCCCCGUGAGUUCCAUGUGAGCACUGGGAAGAACAUGCACCUUUUUAUUUAUCUAUGACUUUUUGAUGAACAAAUAUCCCUUUGUUCCUUUCAUAAAAUAAGGUUGGGAAAGGGGUAUAUGACUUGUUAACUCACAGAAAACUCCAUAAGAGUAUAAGACUAGUUAACGCACAGAAAAUUCUGCAAGGGUAUAUGACUAGUUCACACUCACCGAAAACUCCAUAAGGACGACUUCCCAUGUAAUACACAUAUCAUAUUAAAAUAAUGAAAAAUCUUAAUACCUUUUGGCUCAGUUAGAACCCACAUGAUGAUUCAAUUCCUUGCUGCGCAUGUGCUCCUCUGCCCUUUGUCCACUAGGGGUCAGGAUACACCAAAGAGUGCAGAGAAGUGCUUGGCACCAGCCGUGGAAGCAACACGUUGGCCCUGUCCUUAAAGAGACAGAAUACCCAUCUGCGGCCACAGAGGGGGUCCAGGCUCUGGGCUCUGUAAAGACACACAGAUUCCAUAUAAAGACAUGAAGCGCUCUACCUGGAUGGAAGAGAUAACAUCACAGCAAACUAAGAGCUAUCAAAGUCAUCCCCUUCCAUGGGAAAAGGACCCACUAACCAGACGGGGAGGAAGACACCUGUUGGACAUGCCAUCCUGAAACAUUGGGUCUUUAGACUCAUCCACGGAAAAGAAGUAGAGAAACGGGGAGACAAACGGGGAGUUCCAGAAGGAAGACAAAAACUGGGAGAAGGUCAUCAAUGUUUCAAAAGCUGACCACAUUUGGAAUAACUCACCACUUAAUCUUUGCAACAUCAGUUUAACUCGGACACUAAAUCUGUGUUAGAGCCAGCUACGUAUCGAUCAAAACAAACAAAUGUGAAAAAAGAAAUGUCUCAAGAGGUUUCUGAGGAAUUAUCUGUAAAUGGAGGUAACGCACCAUCAGUGUCAGCGUAACAAUAAGAGGGUAAAUGAAUAAUAGGAUUGUAAAUGGAAAAAUGAAGACCUAAGCAAAGCUGGUGAAGAACCAGGAAGAGAGCCAUAUUUGCUUAACUGAACAGGUGUCUAAUUGCAAAGCGAAAACAAACAUACACACAUUAGUGUUUGCGGUACAUUGUAUGUCAUAUCUGUCAAUAGCACUGCUAUGCACUCUACAGGACACAUUGCCAUUGCCUAGCUGUUGGAGGCAGAGGGAAUUCACAGAUGUUCACUACUGAGCAUGUGCGGAAGAUGCCAUAUGAUGCAAAAACCAAAGGCCUUAAAGUUGACCGAUUUUUAAAACAAUUGAGAGCUUGUUUACUUUGACAUUAUUUUGUAAUAAUUUAUAGGUUAUCUGCAGAGAUGACCAAGGAUUUGACGGUUCAUUCAACAUAAUCAUUCUUGAACUGUAACUACUGCAGGUAGGAACGCGAAAGUGUUGAGCUGUUGUUUGUAGACUGGAAAGCCAAUGCAGACUUGUGGUGCAGUUCAGUUUGUGACUAAUAGUGUGAAAUGUCAUAUGUCAAAUGUCAAAUGUCAACGAUUGAUUACAGGUCAAAUACUCUUCAAAUAUAGAACACUAUACAGAGACUGCACCAUUUUCAUGACAGAAGUUCAUCUGUGAAUAAAUGAAACACAAUAAAUGCACUAUAACACU